rnacentral:rRNA from 1 species
UUGGAGGGCAAGUCUGGUGCCAGCAGCCGCGGUAAUUCCAGCUCCAAUAGCGUAUAUUGAAGUUGUUGCAGUUAAAAAGCUCGUAGUUGAAUUUCGGGAUCAAUAUAUCGGUCGUGCCUUUGGUACGUACUGGUAUCAUUGAUUUCUCCCUUCUGACGAAUCAUGAUGUCAUUAAUUUGGUGUUAUGAGGAGUUAGGACUGUUACUUUGAAAAAAUUAGAGUGUUUAAAGCAGGCAUUAGCUUGAAUACAUUAGCAUGGAAUAAUGAAAUAGGACGUUUGAUCCUAUUUUGUUGGUUUUUAGGAUCGACGUAAUGAUUAAUAGGGAUAGUUGGGGGCAUUAGUAUUCAAUUGUCAGGGGUGAAAUUCUUGGAUUUAUUGAAGACUAACUACUGCGAAAGCAUUUGCCAAGGAUGUUUUCAUUAAUCAAGAACGAAAGUUAGGGGAUCGAAGACGAUCAGAUACCGUCGUAGUCUUAACCAUAAACUAUGCCGACUAGGGAUCGGAUGAUGUUAAUUUUAUAAUGACUCAUUCGGCGCCUUACGGGAAAC